UGCACACUUUGUCCAGUUCCCGUAAUAUUUUUUAACAAAGGUAAUGAAACUUCUGCUGUUACAAUGUCAAUAUUGAAAAAAGUGUCUUGUGCUAAUGUGAAAAAGUGGGUUAAAGUGGCGACAGAAACCGGGAAAUCUAUUGAGUGUAAAGACCUUGUUAAUGCCAGUAUGUGAUGAUAUUAUGACAACCAUUAUUUAUAGAACUCAACGACUCACUCUUUGUCACUUGUAAUUCAAUCCUGGAAGCAGCUGAUAAUUUUUCAAGUGAAAAUUGUACUGAAAAUCUACAGAGCUUGAAACAAGCCCUUUUAGAAAUCUCUGCUGGAAAGAAAAUUUUAGUUGAAUACAAAAAAAUUCUACAUUAACGAUACAUAGUCGCAGACAAUUAGUAAAUAUUGCUGUUGCCAACUUAGUAAAAGUUUGUGGUAAUUAUCCGACUAGAGAUGAAAAAAUACAGUGUGCAAAAUCAAUUAUUGAGGAAUUUCCCAGUUUAAAAGAUCCAGGGUCUACAAAAGGUUAUGAAGCUUUUUACGACCCUGUAUCAAAAAGUGGUUAUAUUUUGUGGAGAUUAAAAACAUUGAACAGGAAUAAGGUAGACAAAAAUAAAAAAAUUAUGUAAAUGCUGAAACAAAUUCUGUGAUUCAACCGGAAAUAAUAAAUGUAAACGAAAUUCGUGAAAUCAAAGUGGAUCCUAAAACGUUAAAAGAGAAAUUAAGUUUUAUGCAAAAUUAAAUGCUUGCAAAACAUUACAGAAAAAUGAAAUUUUAGAAAUUCUUCAAUACUCAUAUAAUUUAAGACGCAACGAAUUACAAAAAAUCAUAGAAAAUUUCCCGAGAUUCCUUGAUAUCCUAUAUUUGGUCAGUUAUCUCAUGCUUGCGUUAAUUUUUAUAAGAUUACUUAAAUAUACUCAUCAAAUAAUUUUUUAAUUUAUCUUUGUCAUUAGAUACGUGAAGA